GCAUGGCUUGACAAGCGGUGCCAUGUCCGCACCUGGGAUCCAAACCAGUGGACCCUGGCCUGCCAAAGCAGAACGUGCGAACUUAACUGCUGCACCACCUGGCCAGCCCCCAGACAUCAAUAUUUUUUUAAGUUCCUAAGAUGAUUCCAAUGAACAGCCAGGAUUGGAAGCUUACAGGUUUUCCAGAAGCCAAUGAUUUUUAUAUGCAUGGGCAUCACCUGGGAAGAAUCCUUAAUGUGCCACUCCCCAAGCCCCGCCUGCCAGUUGAAGCCCCUGCUGUUAUUCAAUUAAGCCUGGAUACCAGACCAGAGGCUCCUGGACGGAGAGUCCCCAGCCCAGAUCUCCUGUGGGCACAGCACACAGCUCACACAGGCAGAGCGGAGCGACUAACAGUUGGAGUUAGAGCUUUCUGGUUCACCCUGCACCGCAGGCAAAAAGCAAUGUUCCUUUGGAUUUGCACACUGUCUGGAUGGAGUGAAUCAUUCGCAGUCUCACAAGGCACAGUCUUUCCCAUGGGUCUUGUGAGACAAGGAACAUUCGAGAAGAGGACAGUAUGGUGGGUCACAUGGGAGUCAGGCUCUAAAGUCCAAUAACCUUGACUUCUGAUCUCACCUCUGCUACUUACUGGAUGUGGAUCCUUGAGCAAGUUACCUACACUUUCUGUCCUUCUAUUUUUUCAGAGUUACUGGGAGAAUCAACUAAGAAAUGUAAGUGCCAAAUACACGGGGACUACAGAUGACAUCAUUGAAAUAAUGCUUUUAUCUUUGGGACAUUUAAUCUUGUAAAUGACUGUUUUUCUCUUUGUUUUGCCUCUGGAAUGUUUACAGACCAAUUUUUCUGACCAUCUCUAGUCACCGCCGCAAUUGCAUGGACCCAAAUGGUAUACUUUCUGGGUGCAAUUUUAUCCCUGGCUUUAUUUGCCAUUCUUUUACUGUCCAUAUUUUCCUUUUUCCUCAACUGUUAUCUAUUUCUACUCUUGUAAAAGUGUGUGCAUUGUUGUGUGUGUGUGUAAUACCCCAAAUCUUCUGUGGAAUAAAUGAGUAUAAGUUUGUGAGAGGGUAAAU
rnacentral:lncRNA from 1 species